rnacentral:tRNA from 1 species
GCACCAGCGGCCGAUUGGGUACAGGCGCUCCACUUCAAAAUGGUCGCACAGACCAUCCUUAGAUGGAGAGAAGCAGGUUCGACUCCUGCCUGGUGCACC